GAUCCACUAGCUCAGUUGGCAGAGCAUUUGACUUUUAAUCAAAGGGUCUGGGGUUCGAAUCCCCAGUGGAUCACCA
rnacentral:tRNA from 2 species